GACGAACGCUGGCGGCGUGCCUAACACAUGCAAGUCGAACGGAAAGGCCCUGCUUUUGUGGGGUGCUCGAGUGGCGAACGGGUGAGUAACACGUGAGUAACCUGCCCUUGACUUUGGGAUAACUUCAUGAAACUGGGGCUAAUACCGCAUAGGAGCUCCUGCUGCUUGGUGGGGGUUGGAAAGUUUCGGCGGUUGGGGAUGGACUCGCGGGUUAUCAGCUUGUUGGUGGGGUAGUGGCUUACCAAGGCUUUGACGGGUAGCCGGCCUGAGAGGGGGACCGGCCACACUAGGACUGAGAUACGGCCCAGACUGGAACGGGAGGCAGCGGUGGAGAGUAUUGCACAGUGGGCGGAAGCCUGAUGCGGCACAGCCGCGUGCGGGAUGACGGGCUUCGGGUUGGGAACCGAAUUCGCCUGUGACGAAGCGUGAGUGACGGUAACGGGUAAAGAAGCACCGGCUAACUACGUG
rnacentral:rRNA from 1 species